rnacentral:misc_RNA from 1 species
UGCCCCGGUAUUUAGAACUUGCUCUGUACUGCAUCCUUGGCUGAAACCAGGUACUGCAGGACUAAUACACAACUGAAUCUCAGACUAAUACACAAAACAUAACAUGAGCAAAGGACAAUAGAUACUCCCUUCCCAAUCAUCUUUGAUUAAGUGCAUCUUUGAUUGAGACCUUAACCUUGGGAUAAUGCACAAUACCAACCAACACAAGAAGAAUAAUUUGUGGGAUUAUGGGCAGGAUAUCAUUGUAUCAACAACUUGAGGAGUUCAUCUAUGAACAUGUGAAGCCAAU